AACAGGGUGAGAUGGAGGAGGUUGAUUUGCAGCCAAAAGAAAAAGAAGAUUUGUAUAGUGGAAGAGAAGAACUAACAUAUUAGUUUAUUGCAAACAGAAACACGGCAGCUCAAUAACAUAACUGAAAGCAAUCACAGUAAGUCCCAACUUAGUUUACCGAUUUAUAAAAUGAUGCACUGCGUCAACCUGUUCACACAGCAACAGUUUAAUAACAUACAAAAUGUUUGAUUCAUUAUUUUGAUUCAUUCUUUCAUUUACAAGUCAUCUUUAUGUGACUAAAAUACUGGACAACAAGAAACACAAUGAAGUAAAACAACAAGUAAAACUCUGUCAUUUAAAAGCUGAAAUACAAACACCUGUAACAUGAAGAUAAAUUACAUCAGAACUAUAUGUAAAUGACACAUGAUGUUACUGAGGACCUGCCCCUACAGCUUGUUAUUUUGCCCUGAUAGGUGAUGUGCAAGAAUAAACAUUGUUAUGUUAUAAGUCAGUAAAAUUGAUGAUGUAGUGAUAGGACUGAACUCAGUUACGGGAUGAACUAGAGCAAAGUCAUGAGGGUAUUUUCAGAUAACACGUUGCUCUUGACAGUGUUGUACUGCUGCUUUUCCUCUGCUGUGUCCUCCUCUCUUUAUUCCUCUUGUCAGUUACAGGGACAGGUUAAUCUAAAUGGAAUGCACAAAACUGGAGAUGUGAUUCUAGGUGGACUUUUUCCAAUCAACUUAAUUUCUGCGCAUCCUGACCUGACUUUUACCUCAAAACCACAGCUGCCUACCUGUUACAGUUUUGAUAUCAUAGGAUUCAGGCAGGCUCAGUCCAUGGCCUUUGCUAUUGAUGAGAUCAACAGAAACUCGAAGCUGCUGCCUAAUGUGACUCUGGGAUACAGUCUGUAUGAUAACUGCCUUCAACUAGGAAUUGCAUUUCAUGCAUCACUGUCCUUAGUCAGUGGUCAAGAAGAGCAAGUUACAUUAGACAAGAGAUGUGUAGGAACUCCAACAGUCCAAGGGAUAGUUGGGGAUUCUACCUCCACACGUUCUAUUGCCAUAUCAUCAUUGUUAGGUUUGUACAGAGUGCCAAUGGUGAGUUAUUAUGCCACAUGUUCCUGCCUGAGUG